rnacentral:rRNA from 1 species
AAGAUGUCCCCUCUCCCCGACUUCUCAUCUCUCUCCCACGAUGUGUGCACCGCCGCCAGGUCCGUUCUCAUCUGGUUAAUCUGAACGGGCAUAUUUUCUUUCUGCUCUACCUCAGGAGACCUCCUCCCCUGAGCGCUCCCCUCCCUCAGGAGACCUCCUCCCCGACCUCUCGUUUUCUCUACCGACGGCCGACGUGGUGGUGUACCGCCGCCGUCACGGCGCUGAAACCGGCGAGAUCCUGCGUCCCCAUCGUGGCCCAGAUUCCCUAUGCCACCAGUACACCGAACACCUCAAGAUUCGUAUGUGAAAGGAGGUGCAUGGGAGAAAAGAUGCCAGAGUUGCGUAGUGGAGUGUGAUAAUAUAUUCAAGUCAAGGAAAGUUGUGGUGACCAACACGAUUAUCCAUCACGUCCAGCGGGGACGCUGCAAGAAUCAUGGCCCCCAUGUGUGCUAUUGUCCAACACAGCCGCUGCCCUUUCACACUACCUCCACGCCGGUUGUGUUUUCCCUACAAGUACAUCUCGCUUCUCUCCUGCAAUAUUACUAGGCUGGAGAUGGGUGUCAUGGCUUCAGAGGCGUCAACAUUGACUGCAAAUACAUUCUGAAAAUUGAAUUGUUUGAAAUUCUUAGUAUAUGCAAUUCUGUAAAUUGUAUCUGUAUGUAUGUGAAGGUCUUUUCAAAAUGGAGCAGAAAGAAAAGAACAGAGCUUUUGAUUUAGCUUAGUAGAGAAAGACUGAAACACAUUUCAUUUAUAUCACAGGAAUGGAUGCCUUGGUGUCUGCAUUUUAUUCCGAGGAGAAAACACAUCCAGAGAAAAAACAAGAAUGAGUUGUCUAACUAGACUGGAUGCAUACUUUCAUCAGUUGAACCAAUUACUCAUGGAAGGAAUAAAAGAUCCAAGCUAGGAAGGCAUGUUUCAAAGGCACAAGCAUAAGUCUUGGAAUAAUUGCUAUUGGUGGUUAAAAAAUUCAUGUAUGUCGAUGUGAUGUCUAUGAAAGAUGUUAAAUCUGCUUGAUGUAUAUGUCUAAUCUUUAUGUUGGCGAACAGGUGGAUGUUGACUACAUUAACAUUUCCUUGUGUUGCCUUAUUAGUGUAUGCCAAAAGAUGCAAAUCGUGUGGAAAUGCAAGAACAUGAGCUUCUGUUCUUUGCUUUCUUUUUGGUUGCACAAGCUUGAUGUUAUUAUC